rnacentral:rRNA from 1 species
CAGUAGCCGCGGGAAUACGUAGGUCCCGAGCGUUGUCCGGAUUUAUUGGGCGUAAAGCGAGCGCAGGCGGUUAGAUAAGUCUGAAGUUAAAGGCUGUGGCUUAACCAUAGUACGCUUUGGAAACUGUUUAACUUGAGUGCAAGAGGGGAGAGUGGAAUUCCAUGUGUAGCGGUGAAAUGCGUAGAUAUAUGGAGGAACACCGGUGGCGAAAGCGGCUCUCUGGCUUGUAACUGAUGCUGAGGCUCGAAAGCGUGGGGAGCAAACAGGAUUAGAUACCCCGGUAGUCCCUGUCUCUUAUACA